AACCCAUAAACUUUCAUGCCUUCUCCUCUUCCCCACACUGCCUUUUCACGCUUUCUCCUCUUCCCUCCACUGCCUGCCUUCUCCUCUUCCCUCCAAACAUGGUCGUCCAACUUCUUCACGAUCCCCCCCCCCUUGCUCAUUAGUGAGUCAAUCUCACUCUUGCGUAAUCUGCAGCUAGUACAGAGAAGUUCGAUCCCUUCCUUGCUGGUCAGAAGUUUUAAAUUCAUGAUGGAGCCAGAUCUGAUUUUUGGUGAAGUAGUAGAUAAGAACAGAGCAUUUGAAGACGCUGAUGAAGAUGCUGUCAUCUUUGAGGAAAUUAGGGAUUCUUCGGAUGAUCAACAAGUAGAGCAUAUCAUGAUGUUGCAGCCUAAGAAGGGGAUGACGUUCGAUAGUGAGGAUGCUGCUGUUAGCUUCUACAAAGAUUAUGCCAAAAAAGAGGGCUUUGGUGUAAUAAGAAGAACCACUAGACAUGGAGAAGAUAGCAAGCUUGUUUAUUUUACUCUUGCUUGUAACAGGCAAGGGAAGGCUCAAUAUUCAUCCAAGAACUCAUUUAAACCUAAUCCAUCAACGAGGAUGCAAUGCCCAGCUAAGAUUAACUUCUCUCGUCAUGAGGAGAAGUUCCGCAUUACAUCUAUUACGCUUGACCACAAUCAUCCUAUAAGUCCAAGUAAAGCCAGAUUUCUGAGAUGUCACAAGAAACUGAACUUGCAUGCCAAGAGAAGGCUGGAAUUGAAUGAUCAAGCAGGAAUCCGUCUGAAUAAAAAAAUUGGUUCUCUUGUUAUGGAAGCUGGUGGGUAUGGUAAUCUUGAGUUCGGUGAAAAGGAGUGCAGGAACUAUUUGCAAGAGACAAGAAGGCUGAAACUUGGUGCCGGAGAUGCACAUGCUGUCUACCAAUAUUUUCUUCGGAUGCAAUCAAAAGAUCCUGACUUUUUCCAUCUUAUGGAUGUGGAUAAGGAUGGGAGACUGAGAAAUGUCUUUUGGGCAGAUGCAAGAAGUAGGGCAACAUAUGAAUCUUAUUGUGAUGUCAUCACAUUUGACACUACAUACUUAACAAACAAGUAUAGCAUGCCAUUUGCUCCCUUUGUUGGCGUAAAUCAUCAUGGAGAAUCAGUUCUGUUAGGUUGUGGCCUUCUAUCCAACGAAGACACCGGCACUUUUGCGUGGUUAUUUAAAUCUUGGCUAUGUUGUAUGUCAAACAAACCACCAAAUGUUAUAAUCACUGACCAGUGCAAAGCAAUGCAGAAUGCUAUUGAAGAAGUUUUUCCUCAAGCUCGUCACAGAUGGUGGAUAUGGCAUAUCAUGAAGAAGAUUCCUGAAAAGCUUAGUGGGUAUGAUAAGUAUGAGAAUAUUAAAUAUACCUUGUCAAAUGUGGUGUACGAUUCCUUGACAAAAUGUGAUUUUGACAAAGCUUGGGUGGAGAUGAUCAAUAAAUAUGAUCUUCACGAAAAUGAAUGGCUUGCCGGAUUAUAUGAUGAAAAAAAUCGGUGGGUACCAGCAUAUGUAAAAGAUACUUUUUGGGCAGGGAUGUCUUCAACACAAAGGAGUGAGAGUGUGAAUGCCUUCUUUGAUGGGUAUGUUCACGCUAGAACAACUCUAAAGCAAUUUGUGGAGCAGUAUGAAAAUGCAUUAAGAGACAAGGUAGAGAAAGAAACCAAGGCUGAUUCUAAGUCGUUCCAAGAGGAAAUUCCAUGCAUUACUCAUUUUGACUUCGAGAAGCAAUUUCAAGUAGCAUAUACCAAUGCAAAGUUUCAAGAGUUUCAAGAGAAAUUAAGAGGGAAAAUCUAUUGCUAUCCAUCUCUGCUAAACAAUGAAGGGCCACUUCUUACAUUUAGAAUUAGAGAGGACCGUAAGAUUUUUUUUUAAGGAGAGGAUGGCAGCAUUAAAGAGAAAUGGAUUAUUUCAAAUUUCACUGUCUUGUUCAAGCAAGAGGAAUGUGAUGUGUCGUGUAUUUGUAGGCUUUUUGAAUUUCGAGGCAUCUUGUGUAGCCACAUCAUUACCGUGCUUGCUCUCAUGGGGAUCAAAUAUGUACCUUCUAGGUAUAUAUUGCAGCGAUGGAGAAAGGAUUUUAAGCGCAAACACGUAUUUAUUAAAUGCUCCUACGAUGAUAUGUUGAAUACACCAGUUGUGCAGCAUUAUGAUGAAUUAUGCAAGCGUUCUCACGAAGUGGCAGAGAAAGGUGCAGAGUCCGAUGAAUUGCGUGACUUGGUGAUGGAUGGGCUUGAUCAGUUAGAAAGAAAGGUUGAUGCAUACCGUGCUAACCAUGCUUUUCAAGUACAGGCAGAAGAUCCAACAUCAAAGCAUGAAGAUAAAAUGUUAAAGAAAGAAAAACUUGUACUCAGUCCAAUCCCUGUUCGCAGUGCAGGCCGUCCUCGUUCAAAGAGAAAGCUAUCUAAAGUGGAUCAAUUGAUCCAAAAAUUGAGAGCAAAGAAGCGGCAGGUGCCAACAAGUACAACCAAAGUGCAGACUCAUAAGGGGAGAAAGCAGAAUUACGUCAUCAAAUCAAAAGGUGGGCAAGACGCUAAUCUCCAGAGUUCACAACAAACAGAGGGAAAUAUUCACUAUGAAGGGUAUGGGGCUAGAAGUUAUUGGUUCUUUCCAAAUGAGUUUCAGGGAAAGAAAAAUGCCAUGGAUCUGCUAGCUGCCAACCUGAAGGAAUGAAAAAUACAUGCUCUGGAGUCUGUUGUACUUCUGAAUGGAUUUGACGACAAUGUCGCUUAUAGCAUUGGAUGCCUCCAUUUAUUUUCAUUAAUGUAAUCGUAUUGUGAGAGCCAUCUGUCUGUGUCAUCUAGAACAGCUUGUGAGUACUAAUUUAUCUCUUUUGGAGACAGAGUUAUCUAGAUCAACUUUUGGAGAUAUGUACAAGAGCAAUUCUUGUUUGCA